rnacentral:lncRNA from 1 species
ACAUGUACCAAGGAUUUUUCUUCAUCGUAUUACUGGUUCGCAACAAUGGUUAACUAUGGCGACAUGCUGCUGUUGGACGUUCCAUCGUUAAUGGCUGGUUCGACUACACUGGUGUUUCCUGGGCUCCAGAGUACUACACCACCAAGGCUCCAAAGUACAAGUCGAAAACUUAAUCUGCCCCGAGUCACAUCACGCAAGCGCCUGAGUACUGCACUGAGUCUUCCAAGUUCUACAACACCAAAGUUCAAGCUACUACACCGAGUCUCCAGAUAUUCACCAUCAGAGCGAUCUUCACCGAAGUGUCCAAGUACUAGACUACAACCUACUGCAGCUCACUGUGUGUCACAACUGUCUUCUUUACCGUAUUAAAUCGGUUUCCAAUCAUGGGCUGGGUCGACCACGGGUGCACUGAUGUCUCCUGGAUAUGGCCGAUACCAAAUCACCACAAGCUGCCAUACUUCACAACAACGAGGUCCAAGUACUAAACCACUGUGGGAUGGAAUAUUACAAGACUGCUGCUACUUUCUACUACACCAAGGCCCCUAAUCCCCUACUGGUUGUCUACUGAAAUCACCUCCAUACUCAAGUUUGAAAAAAUAAGUUUUGAUUUUCGCAACAAUUUUAUUUAACUUUCUAAAAAUAAAACAUUCAUGGUUCGUAUGUGUGAUAAACUUUUAUAAUUAAAUAAAUUGUUUUCUACUGCCAAAUAGUGUAUUUUUUAA